CAGCUAGUUGGUAAGGUAACGGCUUACCAAGGCUACGAUGGGUAGGGGUCCUGAGAGGGAGAUCCCCCACACUGGUACUGAGACACGGACCAGACUCCUACGGGAGGCAGCAGUGAGGAAUAUUGGACAAUGGGCGCAAGCCUGAUCCAGCCAUGCCGCGUGCAGGAUGACGGUCCUAUGGAUUGUAAACUGCUUUUGCACAGGAAGAAACAACUCUACGUGUAGAGUCUUGACGGUACUGUGAGAAUAAGGAUCGGCUAACUCCGUGCCAGCAGCCGCGGUAAUACGGAGGAUCCAAGCGUUAUCCGGAAUCAUUGGGUUUAAAGGGUCCGUAGGCGGUUUAGUAAGUCAGUGGUGAAAGCCCAUCACUC
rnacentral:rRNA from 1 species